rnacentral:rRNA from 1 species
AUGCUCCCUGUCGCGCUACGAUCAGCGCUCCCUCGAGCUCCACAAGAAAUUCUUUCGGGCUGCGUCUGCACCUCUGAAAAGUUCACACACUCGAAGGAGGGGUCAUUGUUUCUUAUUGGAGAAGGCCUGGUGUUUAGUUGGUGUCUGUGUGGUACCUACACCAGCAUUUUCCAUCAAGACCUCCAGAAAGAGAUCAUCUCAAGAUCAUGCAAGUUCAACUAUAUAACCGCAUGCAUGUCUCCCUUAGUCCGACUAUUGCUGCUGCUUCAAAUCACAAAAUUUGAUUCAGCCAGUAAGUUGGUGCUAGUGGAUCAAGUCCAGGUCAACUAUUUUUAUGUUGGUUGUUACAAUAUUGUUUGA